GGAAGGCCCACUGCCCUGUGGUCCCCGAGCCCCUCAGACAGCAAAUGGGUGGUCACCAGGGAGAGUCCUUAACCUUCCUUUCCUUCCCUCCCUUUGUAUUUCUUUAGACCCAGAGCAGCUCUGAGCCUCUUGGACAGUAUGUGACCCAGGCCCUGCUCCUCAGGGAGCUGCCCUCUGUCCCAGACCCAGACCCACUGGUCUUCCUCCUCCCCCUCCUCCCCAUCCUCCCCUCCCCUCCCCUUCCCUCCUCCCCCUCCUCCCCUCCCCCUCCUCCCCUCCCCUCCUCCCUCCUCCCCUCCCCCUCCUCCCUCCUCCCUCCUCCCCUCCCUCCUCCUCCCCUCCCUCCUCCACAUCUUCUCUUCCUCCUCCCCUCCUCCUCCUCCCUCCUCCCUCCUCCCUCCUCCCCUCCCCCUCCUCCUCCCUCCUCCCUCCUCCCUCCUCCCCCUCCUCCCCUCCCUCCUCCACAUCUUCUCUUCCUCCUCCCCUCCCUCCUCCUCCCCUCCCUCCUCCUCCCCUCCCUCCUCCUCCCUCCUCCCCUCCCCUCCUCCCCUCCCUCCCCCUCCCUCCUCCUCCCUCCUCCCUCCUCCCCUCCCUCCUCCCCUCCCCCUCCUCCCCUCCCCUCCUCCCCUCCCUCCUCCUCCCCUCCCCCUCCUCCCUCCUCCCUCCUCCCCUCCCCCUCCCUCCUCCUCCCCUCCCUCCUCCACAUCUUCUCUUCCUCCUCCCUCCUCCCCUCCCUCCUCCCCUCCCCCUCCCUCCUCCUCCCCUCCCCCUCCCCCUCCUCCCCUCCCUCCUCCUCCCCUCCCCCUCCCCCUCCUCCCUCCUCCCCUCCCCCUCCUUCUCCCCUGCCCCUCCCCCUCUUCCUCCCUCCCCAUCCUCCCCUCCCCCUCCUCCCCUCCCCCUCCCUCCUCCACAUCUUCUCUUCCUCCUCCCCUCCCUCCUCCUCCCCUCCCUCCUCCUCCCCUCCCUCCUCCACAUCUUCUCUUCCUCCUCCCCUCCCCCUCCCCUCCUCCCCUCCCUCCUCCUCCCCUCCCCCUCCCCCUCCCCCUCCUCCCCUCCCCUCCUCCCCUCCCCCUCCCCCUCCCCCUCCCUCCUCCUCCCCUCCCUCCUCCCCUCCCCUCCUCCCCUCCCUCCUCCCCUCCCCCUCCUUCUCCCCUGCCCCUCCCCCCCCCCCCCGCCCCUGUCCCUCCACAGCUGCCCAGCACAGCUGUUUGUCGGCCAGCAGCCCUGCCUGGGAGCCCAGGA
rnacentral:lncRNA from 1 species